UACGUAGGGUGCGAGCGUUAAUCGGAAUUACUGGGCGUAAAGCGUGCGCAGGCGGUCUUGUAAGUCAGAUGUGAAAUCCCCGGGCUUAACCUGGGAACUGCGUUUGAAACUACAAGGCUAGAGUGUAGCAGAGGGGGGUGGAAUUCCACGUGUAGCAGUGAAAUGCGUAGAGAUGUGGAGGAACACCGAUGGCGAAGGCAGCCCCCUGGGUUAACACUGACGCUCAGGCACGAAAGCGUGGGGAGCAAACAGG
rnacentral:rRNA from 1 species